rnacentral:lncRNA from 1 species
UUUUUACAUGUAUGUAUGAAAUGAAAUUUGUAUCAUUCUCAUCUCACCAACAAUUGCAACAGCACACACUCCAUCAUGGUAUUUCUCCUUUAAAUGUUGGAUCACUUCCAACGCCUUGGCUCUUUCUUGAAUGUUGGAGUUUGCGCCGUUGAAUUGGUAUAUUUUAUUUUCAGUAUCCAAGAUAAAGACAUCAUCAUGGUUCAAUGAUGAACGAGCAAAGGGAACCUGAGUAAAGAAGUCAUCAUUAGGAUAUUGACUUAAAUAGUUCAUGAAACAUAUACUGUAGGAAGCAAGGAGGUGGAACACCAAUUAAUGCACCUCUUUAACUCUGAUAGCUCUCUUCCCUUUGCAAAUAUAUAGCCGUACUUCAAACUUGUCCACCUCUGGCUUUUUAAACCCAGAAGCAAAACCACCCUCCAUGGGUAUGAUGCAGGGUUUAAAAUAGGAAAGGAAUUUAUCAGACUCGUAGCACUGUGGUUCCCUGUGCUGUACCGCACGACCCCCAAGCAUGCUGUCAAGUUCAACCGUCUUAAUCGCGGCAGUUCCAGCUUCAUCCUGCGUAAAAACAACAGCAAUUUCGAGAAGUGGGCAUAUGAAAUGUCAUUUGUAGCAUAGAGAAAUCUAAGGUGGUGGUACAGAAAUUAAAAUCUACCUGGCUAGAAUCUUUCCCGAUCCAGAAAUGGAUGUCAAAGAUAUAAGCACCUCCUUUACAGGUGGUCUAAAAAAAGGGGGCAGAUGCAUUACUAAAAAUACAAUUUCUGUAGGGAAAUAGAAUGGUGCCUCUGGAAAAAGGAAGGGUUAAAAGCAUUUACCUGCAGAACUAUAUACGAAUCUCCACAGUAGAAUUUGCCAUAAUCUGAUUUUGGCAAAGCGACUGGCUUGAAAUCCUCGAUCCUCCAUAUUUCUGUUCCUCUGUGUUUAAGUUAAGGGGCGCAUACCCAACAUAAAGAGAAUACAGAAGCAUUGCGUUGAAUGAAAAAUAGCUAAAACACGCCCAGUAAGGAUACGGUUUAUGGCCAGCUCCUUGAAAUGCGGGCUCGAGCACCACUUUUGCAUUCGACAUUGUGCAGGGAUGGAUAUAUGUUACUUGGACACUACAGAGAGGCUCCCACCACCCGAUGGACAACAGUCAAUAGAACACUAGAAACUCAUGUGCUGCAUGCAAGAGUGCACCUAGAAGAAAAUGUAAACCAUUAGAGACAAGAGAAACCACCAGAAGUUUCAGAUAUAAACAGAAUGCAUACAAAGUAAUGUUUGCAAAGAAUAGAUUUGCUCUCAGUUUUACGUUAUCACGGAAACCAAAACGCAUGCCUGGCUGGUCUUUUUUUCCCUAUAUUUUUAUCACACAUCACAUCCAAAUUCAUCCCCGAUCGAGCACUCACGGAUGGAGCGCUAACGAUGGAUCGAUCGAUCCAACAAGCGAACACCGACCGCAGACAGACAGCUUAACUGAAGGCCGAUCUGAUCGCAUCGCAGUCACGUACGCAUCCACGGCAAGGGCAGAUCAAUUCAACCCGCGGGAUCGUUAGAUCCUGCUCCCUUCAUCUUUAAUUAUAAGUCAUUUUAAAAAAUUUGGAGACUCAAAAUAUUUUAAGUUUAACUAAAAUUAUAAAAAAAAUUAUAAAAUUUAUAAGAUUAAGUAAAUAUACUAUGAAAAAUAUAGUUAGAAUAUUUAAUUUGUAUCAUGUUAUCAUAUAAAUUUGGUUUACUCUUUGAGAUUUUUAGAAUAACUGGGAUCGAAACAAGCCUUGUUUAGUUCCCAAAAAAUUUUGCAAAAUUUUUCAGAUUCCCCAUCACAUCGAAUCUUUAAACUCAUGCAUGGAGUAUUAAAUAUAAACAAAAAUAAAAACUAAUUAGACAGUUUGAUCGAAAUUGACGAGACGAAUUUUUUGAGUCUAAUUAAUUCAUAAAUACAAACGAAAGUGCUACAGUGUCGAUUUUGCAAAAAUUUUUGGAACUAAACAAGGCCCAAAGGGAGGGAGGAAAGGGAAAAAGGAAAUGCAGAACCGUGGGAUCAUAUGAGGAGGCCGUCGAUCGAGCGGGUACCUGCUAGACGUGUAACGCCGGUCGCCGAUCGAUCGAUGGAAGCGGAGCGGAGCGGGGGGUGUAGCCUCGAGCCAGAGAGGGGAGGAAGGUGGCAGGCGAGCGGCGACGGGAAGGGGACGAGACGACCGAUCGAUCCCAGUGUGUCUCCGAGGCGACGUAGGAAUGGGGCGGAUUCGAUGGGGGUGGUGGAAGUGGAAUGGAUGGAUGUUACUACUACGCGACGCCGCGGCUUUUGCGGUUGCCUGAUUUUAGAAAUGGACCCCCUAUUUAUACGGGCGCGCGCGCGGCGAUCUGCCUGCGCCCUAUACGUGCGGUGCGGCAGCGACGGGGGAGGGACGGAUGGUCGGUGGCUGCUAGGAAAAGGUGCGAUCGAGCUCGGAGUACGAGAGGGGACAACGGAGAACGGACGUCGUUGCUACUGGCUGCCUGCGGCGUUCGUCACCACGAGUGUCCGGCCAGGGCCGCGCUACUGCUACUGCUAGUGGUAGUGGCAUUAGCAUUGCUCGCCCGGCCAGCAGAGGUACGGUACGGCCGCCGGUGACUGACAAGAUUCGGUCUCGUAGCGAGCGCCGUAUGGUAGGUACGGUGGUGAGCUAGGCCGGCCAUCAGCAUCAGGGUCCAGCUGCGGUCCGCAUGAUGCGGCCGAUAAUUGCGAGCUUUCGGUCGAGAUGCAUGGGAAGCUGCAGUGAUCGUGGAUGUGAUGCACACAGCGCACACGCACUCAUCAUUUCGACAGCUACGGUAACAACGUACGGGUUCACGCACGGGGGGCGCCACCUGACCUGACGCUUCCCCACCACCGCCCAUCAGCCCAUCCAACUAGACUGUGAACAUGGGCUGUCCUACCCGGCCAGGCCCAAUCAGUGUACCAGGUAGGCUUGGGCUCUAAAUCAUAAACAAAUAGAAAAAAGAUUUGAUGUGACAGGAAAUUUUGAAAAGUUUUUUAUUUUUGGGGUGAACUAAGGUCUUAUUUAGAUGCGAAAAUAUUUUCGAUUUCGCUACUAUAGCACUUUCGUUUGUUUGUGGCAAAUAUUGUCUAAUCAUGGACUAACUAGGAUCAAAAGAUUCAUCUCGCGAUUUACAGUUAAACUGUGUAAUUAGUUUUUAUUUUUGUCUAUAUUUAAUGCUUCAUGCAUGUAUCGAAAGAUUAGGUGUGACAGAGAAUUUUAAAAACUUUUUAGUUUUUGAGGUGAACUAAAUAAGGCCUAAACAAGACCUAAUUUUGUAUAAUAAAAUGUAAAAUGAACCUCUUUAUUGUGUUCCUCUCCUCGGAAUAGUAAAAGAAUAGACAUAUAUGGAGUGUUUCAUUUGAAGUCCAGACGAAGGAGUUACGCUUUUCAAAAAAAGUUGCAACCGAAGUUGUGAUCCUUAUCGGACGUUACGAGAGUCUGAAGUUUCGACACACGUUAGAACUUUCGACGAACGUCAAGAAACCUGGGGAAAAAAACCCUGCUCAGGUGUCUAGGGUCGGAAAAACCUAAUAAAAAACUUUGUUUGGAAAUGAUCUUUUAGUGCUGCAUAUUUGAUUUUUCCCAAACUAAAUUAGGACUCGACAAAGGAAAACUAUCUAAUGCACAGAGCUAGCACGAUCGUUUCAGCAUUUCAACUGCUCCAAGCCUCCAACUCAUAAACACACUUCCAAGUACGAAACAGACUGAGGAAAUUCCAAAAUCGGUUGUUAAUUAACUCCUUGGCCGGCCUCAUCCAAAUGGAAGAAGGUUUAAAGUCCUGAUGCCCCCGAUAAUCUCAUCAACUGCGUUCGGCAGGCGGUCCAAAUCGCCGCCGCUCCGCUCCAUCAUCCACGCGCGAAUUAUCUAUCCCUUCCCGAUUAAUUAAUCUCCGUGCCGCGAUCGUCACGGAUUCCUUCUUCCUCGUUCCAAUUCCAACUGAGCCGGUCAGCAGCUGCAGCUGCAGAGUGAGAGUGAUCGGCUACUUGUACGCGUGCGCGAGCAUCACCGUGCAGGUAGCAACCGGGGUGGACUGAGCGCGGUCCCCAACACGGCAACACGGGCCACAAUUCAGCCAUGAGGCUCUCGCCGCCGCGGCGCCUCCUCCCCCUGGCCCCCUUCCUCCUGCUGCUGCUCACGCUCCUCUCGCCGCCUCGAGCGGCGGCAGCAGCGGGCGGCGGCCCAUCCGCGUGGGUGGCGCUCCGCGGGGCGGCGGGCAGCCGGAAGGCGUCUCCGGCGGAGCAGGAAGCGGCGGCCGCGGGGCUGCUCCGCCGGCUGCUCCCUUCCCACGCGGGCAGCUUCAGCUUCCAGAUCGACUCCAAGGUUUGAGCAUCCUAGUGCGGCUACUUCCUGAGUUCCUGGUUCCUCCCAGUCCCCGGUCCCCCGCUUGUUUCGGGGCAGCAUUGGUUGACUUCCCUGUGCCCGUUUUUCUGUGCUCGCUCCAGGGCGCCGUCUGCGGUCAAUCAAGCUGCUUCAGGAUAAGCAACGUCGUUGACGGCUCGGGCAAAGGUGGAGCGGAGAUUCUGUAUGUUCCUCUUUUUCCCUCGUAUACUUGCCAUGAUGCAUGAUGCCGUCAACUUUGGCCGCGUAGAUGAUCCAUCUGAGGUCUGAGGCUGUGCUUUGUGGCUUGCCUCACCACUGUAUGGUGGGUGCCCAGCUGGCAUCGAUUCAUGAGGUUUUGAUUUGCAUAAUAGACAAACAUGGUGAUGAAGUCGCUCAUUCCUGUUCUAAAUUUUGCUCUUUGUAUGAUCGCUCCUCAUUAAGUUGGCGCAUUAGUUUGCUUAUAUAAAAUCCAAAAAAUAGUCCAGCGGCUUGGGUUCCUUAAUUGAGCAUUGAGAAUGCAUGUAAUGCAAGAACUGCAAAAAUUGUACAUUUGUUAUGACUACAUCGUGAAGGUGAAUGCAAUCACCUCUUCAUGUUUAUGCUAUACAGGAUCCAGGGAACCACAGGUGUUGAGCUUGCGUCUGGCCUACAUUGGUAUUUGAAAUACUGGUGUGGUGCACAUAUCUCCUGGGACAGGACUGGGGGUGCCCAGCUGGCAUCGAUCCCUUCUCCUGGAUCUCUGCCACGGGUGCAGGGCAAGGGAGUCAAGAUUGAGCGUCCUGUUCUGUGGAAUUACUAUCAGAAUGUCGUCACUUCUAGCUGUGAGUCCUUUCUUGCCUCUAGUGCUUCUAUUGCAAAUGAAGAACUGAUGUUUCAGCAUUUGUUCUCCUACACCCUAAUCCUACAGAUUUCAUCUUAUCAUUUUUGUCUCUGUUGACCGGACCCUUCCAUACUUCUAACAUUUAUCCAACUGGAUUUAUUUAUAAUUUCUAAUUUCAAAAGAAGUGACUCUGAAGCUUCCCACUAUUUAAGUGGAUUCCAACAUUUUUUUCUCUGACAAAAUUCAUGUAGCGUUCUAUAGACUCCUAUGUGUGGUGGGACUGGAAAAGAUGGGAGAAAGAAAUUGACUGGAUGGCACUUCAAGGAAUUAACUUGCCUUUAGCAUUUACUGGACAGGAAUCUAUCUGGCAGAAGGUUUUUAAGGUAGUGUGACAGACACAUCUACUGCAUAUUCCUGUUCUUUGUUUUUUCUUGUCCCUACGUCUUUUUGAUCUGCCUUGUUUAGUUUCCAAAAAAAUUUGCAAAAUUUUUCAGAUUCCCCGUCACAUCGAAUCUUGCGGCACAUGCAUGGAGCAUUAAAUAUAGAUUAAAAAAAUAACUAAUUGCACAGUUUGUCUAUAAUUUGCGAGACAAAUCUUUUGAGCUUAGUUAGUCUAUGAUUGGACAAUAUUUGUCAAAUACAAACGAAAAUGCUGCAGUGUCUAUUUUGCUACAUGUUUUGAGUUUCUUUUCAACCUCCUGUUGCUAUGGGGGCCUUGUUAAUUAUUGCAUUUUAUUUCAGAGUUUUAAUGUUACCGACAGAGAUUUAGAUGAUUUUUUCGGUGGACCAGCUUUCCUGGCUUGGGCUAGAAUGGGGAACUUGCAUGGGUAAGUAAACAGUUCUUCUACGUGUUCAGGAAAAAAAACUAUAAAAUAAAUGAGGCUACAUUCUCUGAUAUAGGUGUUUGUUUAUUAGUUCAGAUAGCAUGAUGAAUAGCUUAUUCUUAAAAAAUAAGGAGCCAUAUUCUUGUUUAGAAGUGUCGAAGAUGUAUCUUUAGUAGGUGUUCACGGUUUGGGAUUUUGGUUCAGUGGAACUCUGCAUUUUGCUGCAUUGAAUACAGAUUAUUAAAAGUUUCUCUUCCUGCUUGUUUCUCUCUGCAUAUCAUUGUUCCCAUUUCAUGUGACCAAAGAUUCAUUCUAACUUAAUUAUAGCAUUGACCACAACAUUGCAGUUGUUCUAUACUUAACUAGUUAACUUUGUAUGAUAUUAAGACUUUUCGGAGAUGAUCAUUUGUACAUAUCUGACAUAUAAAAAGUAACGCAUAUAUAAUUCUUCAAUUUCUUUAGCUGGGGUGGACCACUGUCACAAAACUGGUUGGAUCAACAAUUGGCAUUGCAGAAGAAAGUACUAUCCCGGAUGAUUGAGCUUGGGAUGGUCCCUGGUACGUUUGUGUUUUAUUGUCCAAAAUUACUAUUCUUCAACCUUUAAGAUAUGCCAUUGCAUUUAUACCACCUUUCCAUCCUUUUUUGGCAAUGUAUUUCUUAUAUGAAGUCAAAAGAUCAAUGGACUUUUUACUAGCAAUAUUCUAUUACUACAGUGGGUUAAAUGCUGUUUCAAGUUAUACUUAUGACGCACUACUACUUUACAGUUCUUCCAUCGUUCUCAGGAAAUGUUCCAGCUGUUUUCGCAAAAUUAUUUCCAUCAGCCAACAUUACCCUGCUUGGUGAUUGGUAACAUACUUUCUUAUAUCGUUUGUACCAAUAUUUUCUGAAAAUUUAUGCUGGCUUAGGCAGUAGUUAUGGUGACCAAGAAGUCACCAAGUCCAAAUUUACUGGUGAUCAUAUUCAUAAUGCCUCUUGACAAGUAACUUCUGUAAAUUACUUGGACUGUAGGACAUCUGGAAGAGUGUAAUGGACAAGAAGGAUUCAGACUCACUUAGUUACAAACAUUUUAUAGUUGGGUUAACACUAUAUAGGGCUACUGGCACGGUUGCCAGCCAACAACUUAUUUGUAAGGGACAAUAUAUGCAUACAUGAUCUUAUAGCUUUACACGAUAUGUUUUUAUAUCCUCAGUUUUCAAGAAAAAGAAACUGCAGUUUUGACUCAACUUCUUCGCACUAGACUGUAGAACUAGAAGUCUUAAGUCAAAAUUUGCUACAGGACACGUAACCUGAUGCCGAGCUGCCUGCGGACACAAAAAAGUGCUACAUGCUGACAGUCACUCUGUCAAUGCGAGAAUUUGCUAGAAGACACCGUGUCCAUUAAAAUAAUCAUUUCCAACCUAGAGGAGACGGUGUCUUCCAGCAAAUUAUCACAUUGCCAGAGUGACUGACAGCAUUUAUCACUUUUUUUUAUGUCUGCAGGCUGCUUGACAUCAGUCUAUGUGUCCUGUAGCAAAUUUUUGCCAAGUCUUAAACGUAUCAAGUCUGUGUACUGCCAGUGCUUAUGUGCCUUAUUUCAACAUGAAAGUAUCAGUUGAUUAGCAUUUCAUGUUUUCAGUUAUAAAACUUCUUACUGAAAAUAUCUUAUGUUGUUUUGAUUUUCUACGUGAUAUUUUAUACUUCAGGAAUACAGUUGAUGCUAAUCCUAAGUGGUGCUGCACUUAUCUUCUUGAUCCUUCUGAUUCAUUGUUUAUAGAUGUGGGGCAGGCUUUUAUCAGGCAACAGAUAAAAGGUAUAUACCUGCCAUUUUUGUGUGCAAGAUAUGAUCAUAGGAAACUUGAAUUUGUUCUGAAGUUUCUGGAUCAAAUAAAUCAAUUAAUAAGAAUGCACUUUUGAUUUAUGUUUUUGUAUAAGGUUUCGUAUUCUUUCUUUUUUGAACUUUUCUGGAUGUUUGCAGAGUACGGCGAUGUAACCAACAUCUAUAACUGGUAAGGCCUACUAAUCUGCUUCUUUGAAAUGUUGCCUGAAUGCAUUCUGUGAUUGCUCUGUGUAUCCUUUGCAUGUUGGGUCACAACGCUUAGCUGUCAUAUGCAAGGAUCACAAUUGAUUGGUUCUGUUUCUAUAAGCCAUACCCUAGUUCAUCCUUGCCUAUAUAUGUGUAACCUUUCACCCUCCAUAAUCAAUCAAUCAAUUCCGUACCAUAUUCUUGCUUACAGAUACAUAUCGUCCUGUUUAAGGUAUUGAUAGUGGAUAGUUCAAAAUUCUUGAUUUAUUGGUCAUGCAUUAUGUCAUUCUGAUCAUGUCAUUGGCUAGUGGUUUAGCAUGCUUUUGAGCAUCCUGUGUAUAUUCUUGUGCUCGCUUGCUGUUUCUAGUUUCUACAUCAUGUACACAUUGCACAUUUUACAGUUUUGGUUGUUACUUUCAGUGACACGUUCAAUGAGAAUACCCCACCAACAGAUGAACCAGCAUAUAUUUCAUCACUUGGUUCUGCUAUCUAUGAAGCAAUGUCCCGAGGUAACAAGAAUGCAGUGUGGUUAAUGCAGGUGUGCUCACUCUUCUUUUACCUUUUAAAUGUAAAAACAUUCUGCAUUUAUCAUUUUCUGUUGUGAUAGCAACCAUAUAUCCUCUAGACGAUAGUAACUUGUCCAGUUAACAAGAUGGAGUGCAGAGUACAAUGUAAAGAAAUACACCAUACAAUCUAUUAUUUAUAGUGGUUCAUUCCAUGUUCUUUUUUUUAAAAAAAAAAGAAAGUUAUGUAUUAAAUCUUACUCUUUGGAUAGAGAAAAAUCUUGUGUUUUCUUUAUCAGACAUCAUUAGAUGAACACAUAAUUGGAAAUCUUUGAACUUUACUUUGUGCUUAUUGAUGCAGGGUUGGUUAUUCUACUCAGAUGCUGCAUUCUGGAAGGAGCCACAAAUGAAAGUAAGCUCAAGUCUUGUCUUCAAUGAGUUUCACUUUGAACAGCCAAAUAAAUGUGAUAACUCAUAGAAUGAAGGUUAAUGCAUAUGUUCUUUGUCCUUUUAACACCUAUUUACAAAUGGGUUAACCUGCCCAAUUUUCAGGCACUUCUUCACUCUGUUCCAAUUGGUAAGAUGAUAGUUCUCGAUUUAUUUGCUGAUGUCAAGCCCAUUUGGAAAAUGUCCUCUCAGUUCUACGGUGUACCUUACAUCUGGUAUGUCAUCUUUUAACAACCCCUCCCUCCCAUCUUGUAACUCCAAACCAUUAUUUUGUAUUCACAUUGUCAAUUUAAAAUAUGAAUAUAAUUCCUGAUUUUCAACCAUAUUUACUGAUUGAUUUACUCAAUCUAGGUGCAUGUUACACAACUUUGGUGGGAACAUUGAAAUGUAUGGCGUACUUGAUUCAAUUUCAUCUGGCCCCAUUGAUGCCCGUACAAGUUACAAUUCAACAAUGGUAAGUGCAAAUUUUGUCCUAUGGAGCAAACAUUUCAUUUUCAUGUGUGAGUUGAAAAUCUGUCAUCUGCUGUUUCAAUGUUGAAGUGAAUCAAUCCCUCCUUUCUUGCUGGAGUUCUGUGCUCCAGUGGUGGAGCUUUUUUUUUUUUGAAAACCACAGGAGAGCUGCGUUUCAUUGCAUUAUAGAGAAGAAAAAUAGGGUGGGUCCCCAACAAGAUCCUCACUCAUACGGGGACCAAAUAUGAGUGAGGCAAUUACACACACACCUUUACUGGGCUCAUAGAAAUCAGCUGAAGCUAGACCCUAACUAAGCAGCCCUAGUCACCCAACGCCAAACCAAGCUCAAGGAGCUUCUUUGCCCCAGCCAUGCACCAGAGACUAUGCUCAUUCUUUAGCUCACUCCAAAGCAUGCUCAGCGAAGGAGAAACCCCCUCAAAGACACAUGUGUUUCUAUGUUUCCAAAUAAUCCAGGCCCCUAAAAUAAUUAGAGAAUUCACUCCUCUCCUGUGUUCCUUGCUCACUCUGCUGAUCGUCUUGCGCCACCAUUCAGCAAAACUCCGCUCGUUUUGCCGGGGAGUUGAAUCAGCUAAGUUUAAUGGGGUGAGUAAUUUGCACCAUACUUGUCUUGCCAUCACACAAGAUGUUAGCAAAUGUUGUAUUGUCUCCUCUUCCUGAUCGCAUAGGGGGCAUUUAUCCGGAUGUGAAAGACCCCUCUUAGCAAGCCUAUCGGCUGUCCAACAUCUAUUACGGAUCGCCAGCCACAAGAACAUUUUGCAUUUGCUUGGAGCCCAAGACUUCCAUAGGCGGUGCCACGGCUCAAAAGUCGCUGCACCAUAGAAAAAAGCUUUAUAUGCAGAUUUGGAAGAGUAGCAGCCACUUGUAUCUAGCCUCCAUAUGUGGCGAUCCUCUUGGUCAGUCAGAGUGAUACUCAUGAGACAAUCACAAAGCUGUAGGAAUUCUCUCAUACCGAUCCAGGAUAGGCCGCCAUGAAUGUCUCGUGCCCAUUGCACGUUAGAGAGAGCUUCAGCCACAGUACGUCUUUUGCGAAUUCUUGGCGAGACACAAGCAAAAACAGUUGGUGCAAGAUUUUCAAUCGAGCACCCAUGCAGCCACCGAUCGGUCCAAAAGAGAGUAUUUUGUCCAUUCCCUAUCUCUGUCGUGACUGCAAUAGAGGACAAAGCUAUAGAAUUAGGAUGUGUUGGGAGUUCGAGAUCAGACCAUGGACGGUCAGCUUUAGUCUUUUUCAGCCACUGCCAUCUGACUUGCAAAGCCCAGGCCAUCACUUCUAAGUUAGGGAUGCCCAAUCCCCCAAGAUCCAACGGUCGCAUGACCUUCUCCCAAGCCACCAGACAGCAGCCUCCAUUUGCUUUUUCCUUUCCUUGCCACAGAAAUCCCCUUCUGAUCUUGUCCACUGCCUUGAUGAACCAUGACGGGAUGUUGAUAGCAAUUAGCAAAUGAAUAGGCAUGGCAGAGAGGACAAAUCGGACUAAUGUUGCACGUCUAGCCCUAUUCAUAAGGGCUGCCUUCCAGCAUGGAAGUUUGUCCGCAAUUUUUUCUAUCCAUGGCAUGAGAUCCCUCUUGCGAAGCUUCCUGUUUGAUAGUGGUAGGCCCAAAUACUUGCAAGGGAAUUCUGAAAUUGUACCCGGAAGAAUAUCUUGAAUUACUCCCAAAGACCCUUCUGUACAACUGAUGGGAAUGAUAUUGCUUUUCUGAAUAUUAGUUCGCAAUCCUGAAGCAUCUCCAAACACCUUGAGGAUAUCUCUGGUGAUCUGCAGCUCCCCUUCAAGUGGCUUAAUAAAUAAGGCAACAUCAUCAGCAUAUAGGGAAAGCCUUUGUCCUGUCACCCGUGGGGAUAAAGGUUGCAACAGCCCCUCAUUCGCUGCCUUCACAAACAGACUGUUAAGCACAUCCAUCACUAAAAUAAAGAGCAUCGGGGAUAAAGGGUCCCCUUGACGAAGGCCUCGUUGAUGUUGUAUGGGUUCUCCAGGUUCCCCGUUCAAUAAAAUUCGAGUUGAGGAUGAUGCCAGCAGAUUGGCCACCAAAUUGCGCCAAAUGCAUCCAAAGCCCAAGUGUUGUAGCACUUCUAAAACAGUGGUGGAGCUAAAGCCAGGCUAAAGGGGGCCAUGAGCCCAUGACCCCUCUUGAUUCUUUAAAUUUCUUAAGAAAACACCUUAUCCUAGGUAACAACAGAGCAUGGUUUACAUAGCUUGGCCUCCUGUACAUCUACCAUCAUGCUCCAUCGCUGCUGUGCUUGUUGUUCUUCUUGAUUGAUCGUUCCAUCUUUCAUGAUAUGCAUGUGUUUCAGAACUGAUAUAUUUUCAGUGCUGUAUCUAAUCUGACUAUUUAUGCAAUGUUUGACUCUUGCUCUUCUCUAGAUUGGUGUUGGCAUGUGCAUGGAGGGAAUAGAGCACAAUCCAGUUGUUUAUGAACUUAUGUCUGAAAUGGCAUUUCAUAAUAAGAAGGUUGAAGUUGAGGUAAAUAGUACAAAUGUAAACUUAGCCUUCGAAUUAUGAUUUACUGCUAUUCUUAUUUCUUCAUCUUGGAACUAUUACAGCUGUAUAGACUCUAUAGAGUAUGAGGUGCCAUUGUAGACAUAGUUUGCACUUUAUACAUAAUUAUAGGGUACAUUCUGUUUAUGCACCACUACAUAAAUUUUAUCAAUCUAGUCAAAAGAUAACUGCUUCUGAAAGUUCUUUCCCUUCAUGUGAUUUCAGUGAGAUCAGGAUUAAUGGAAGUUUUCUGUCUUGAGUUAAAUGUUGAACUGUGUGUCAAAGAAGGAUUGCCAAAAAUACCGUACUUUGUAAUUUGUGUAGUUUCUUGGUACAUAUGCUUUGUACGACCUUGUUUACAUGAGGUGAAUGAAGUACAAACUGUGCUACAGAUAGUAUUUGUCUCUUUCCUUCCGCAGCAGAUUUGCUAUGGCUAUUGUUUUAUAAUCGUCUAACAUCUUGACUGCAGGUUUUGCUUUGAUAGUCGAUUACCAUCUAACAUUUGUCCAUAACCUUCCAGGACUGGUUAAAAACAUACUCCUAUAGGAGAUAUGGUCGAGCGAAUGCUGAAAUAGAGAAAGCUUGGAGAUAUUUGUAUCAUACAAUAUACAAUUGCACCGAUGGAAUUGCGGUGUGAUUUCAAACGAGCUCCUCUGUUGCAACUAUCCAGAGCCUGUCCCGAGUAACAUAUCCUUAUAUUUUCGUUGCAGGAUCAUAAUAAAGACUACAUAGUUGAAUUUCCAGACAUAAGUCCCAGCUCAAUUAGUUCUCAGCUUUCUAAACGAAGGGGUAUGUCAAUUAUGAGAAACCAUAGGAGGUUUUUCUUAAGUGAGGUGUCUGGAAGCCUACCACAUCCGCACCUAUGGUAUUCUACGAAGGAGGCCAUCAAAGCCCUUGAACUAUUUCUUGAUGCAGGAAGCACAUUUUCAAAAAGUCUCACAUAUAGGUACAAUAUGCAACUUUCUUUUAAGUCUUGAGAUUGUCUGUUCUUAUUUUCAGCUAUUGCCAACUCUAUUCCUGUAGUUUACAGUUGUCAAUUGAUUUAAGUGCCAAAUCAGGGUACCAAAUGAACACUUUUUUCCUUUGUUUUCUGGUUUAAUGAGUAAAACUAAUUAUGCUGCUUGGGCAUGUUAUUGCUUUAACUGAUCCUUACUGCUGGGUGAUAACUUUUACCUCAGGUAUGACCUUGUCGACCUAACUAGGCAGUGCCUAUCCAAACUAGCAAAUGAAGUGUACCUUGAUGCGAUGAGUUCGUACCAAAAGAAAGAUUCAAAUGGCCUGAAUUCUCACACGAGGAAAUUUCUUGAGAUCAUCAUGGAUAUUGAUACACUACUAGCUGCUGAUGAUAACUUUCUGCUGGGCCCCUGGCUGGAAAGUGCAAAAAGCCUUGCUAUAACUGAAAAGGAACGCCAGCAGGUAUGUUACACAUGCAUUCUUCAUCUAAUAUCUGGAUCCUAUAUCAAUCCUGUUAUUGAGGACUGAAUUGAACCUUUUUACCAGUAUGAGUGGAACGCCAGAACACAGGUGACGAUGUGGUAUGACAACACAGAGACCGAGCAGAGUAAAUUGCAUGACUACGGUAAUGCCUAGUACAAUAGUUUGUUAGUUGAUAGCUACUAGCUGUAUGGUUCAGCUUUGUGUUACUAAUGUUCUUCUCCGUAAACACCAAAUUACCAGCCAAUAAGUUUUGGAGCGGGCUACUGAAGAGCUAUUACCUUCCAAGGGCGUCAAAAUACUUCGCCUACUUAACAAGGAGCCUGCAAGAGAACCAGAGCUUCCAGCUGGAGGAGUGGAGGAAGGAUUGGAUCUCAUAUUCCAACGAGUGGCAGUCCGGGAAGGAGGUGUAUGCCGUGAAGGCCACGGGUGAUGCUUUGGCCAUCGCCAGGUCACUGUACAGAAAAUACUUGAGUUCUUGAGCUAGUCGUCGCUGCCAGAGUGCCAGAGCCUUGGAAUAAUUGUUGCCGUGGGGUAAUUGUGCACGGAUGUUACAAAUGAUUGAUUGUGUAAUUGUGUUCUUCAGUAAGUUGCCUGUUAAAACAGAUGCCACGAAAGGCAGAUGCAUAUGUUAGCAAGUUGUAGGGUUGAUAUGUGAAAUAUUUGUCUUCCAUGAUCACGUGAUGUAGAGCGAAACCCUCAGCAUUGAUUUCUUGAGCUGUUGCUGCUGCGGUGCUGCCUCGGAGCUGAAGGCCAAGUAAAACAGUGUGCCUUUUGCAUUGCAGUUGGCAAAUUUUGAGACUUGCACUGCAGACUGCAGACUGCAGGCGUACUCCGCAGAGAGGUUUAGGAUGCAGAAACCGCUGAAAUAUGAACAUCGCUCACAAGGUUCUGGGACUCGGCUUUACUUUCUUUGAAACGUAUAGUUUUUUUUAAGGUCCCGUUUGGUCCUCUUGCUAAAUUUAGCCAACUAAAAUUAUUUUAGUUACUCUUGGAUGACUAAUAGAUCUAAAAUAUUUAAGCUCUUUUUUAGUCAGUGUUUUUAGAAUUUUAGCUGGUAAAGUGAUUAAAAUUUAGUUGGCUAAAAUUUAGCAAAGGGAACUAAAUAGACGCUUAAUGUAACUCAACUUUACUAGGGAAAAAAAGAUCAAAACUACUGUGAACUUUCUGCAAAUCAAGUAGCAAGAAUCACCAUGACUCAACAAUAAUACACAUCGCAGAUUCACGUACAGUUAAAGAUGAAUGAAGAAGCAACCUAAGAAGCAAAAAGUCUUGCUCUAUGAAUGGUAAAAACGAGCAGGAGAUCUGCCUCUUUUAAAUUGAGAACAUUAUUGAGCAAAAUAACAGCUGUCAACAGGAAUAUUUUGCUCAAAUUUGCUUCAAAUGCAGCAUACAAAUAAGAAAAAGAGAAACUUCCCUGAUGUAUUAAUGGAAGAAACGAGCGAGAAAUAUGCCCCUUCUAAUGUUGAGCAAAAAAAACAGCUGUAGGUAGGAUCAUUUUACUCAAAUUUCCUUCAAAUGCAGCACAGCAAAAAAAAACUUGUUGCAAAAAAAAAAAAGAGCCUGUCAGACAACCCAUGGGCCACCCCAGCUAGGCAGGACCCAACCAGGAACGAUCCUCUACAGCACCAGACCCAGCAUCAAGCUUAAUCCUGGCCGUUAAUCACGCUCUGGCCCACAGGUCAUGACUCAUCAACCAGGCUUAAGUGCUUGCCUCCUUAUUAGUCAAGGAUGCAGCGGUACGAUCCUAUAGAACAGAUCCUGUUCAAGUAAGGUCGUGCUGCAAGGCUCCAGAGCUGAGGUUUUAAGCUGGCUCUCACUCGCCUGAGCAAGCGAGGUGGUGCUAAUCGGUGGGACUGGGCGACUGGCCAGCAAUCCCACUCCCACCCAGCAUGUUGCGUACUGGGCCGCUCCAUUCUGGUAUAUGCUCCCCUAUGUGUGGGCUUCAGGUCGAGCCGGCCCAUCGAGGCUGCAUUAGCUUUACCUCUGUUGAUGAUGCUGAUUCCUCACCUAAGCUCAGCUGAUUCCUAGUAGGUGAUUAUAGUUGGCCCUCCACAGAGCUAAGCAUAAAAAUGUUACUACUAACCAUCACAAAUCGGUGUAAACACAACAGUAUGAAGUACGUCAUAAUGAGCUAAGCAGCAAUGGGCGAUGUUGUGCGAGUGCGUCGUCGUCUCUCAUCUAAAAUCGAUUGCCUUGUACUACACCGUCGACUGGCCUGGAGAGAUCGGCGUCCAGCAGGAGCAUAGCCAAGGCUGGCUCCAUUUCUGACGACCAUCGGCACCAUGGGCUCGGCAAGCUCCGAGCAGGAGCUGCCUAGCUAUUAGCAUCUCGACAACCGCGCGCGGGCGUGCCGGGCUUCUCGUCAGGCUUUUCUUGGACGCAGAGGAGGCCGACCACAAUUGAGUUCUUAAAGGCCUUGUUUAGUUGGUGAAAAUCUUUUAUUGUAAUAAUUUUAUUUGUAUUUGAUAAUUAUUAUCUAAUUAUAGACUAACUAUGUUUAAAAGAUUCGUCUUAUAAAUUACACAAACGGUAGAAUUAGUUAUUUUUUAUCUAUAUUUAAUGCUCUAUAUAUGUGUCCAA